rnacentral:rRNA from 1 species
UACAGAGGUCCCGAGCGUUGUUCGGAUUCAUUGGGCGUAAAGGGUGCGUAGGCGGUGGGGUAAGUUGGAUGUGAAAUCUUGGGGCUUAACCUCAAAGUUGCAUUCAAUACUGCUCCGCUCGAGUUCUGUAGAGGAGAUUGGAAUUUACGGUGUAGCAGUGAAAUGCGUAGAUAUCGUAAGGAACGCCAGUGGCGAAAGCGAAUCUCUGGGCAGCAACUGACGCUGAGGCACGAAGGCCAGGGGAGCAAACGGG